GAUGAACGCUGGCGGCGUGCCUAAUACAUGCAAGUCGAGCGAACGGACGAGAAGCUUGCUUCUCUGAUGUUAGCGGCGGACGGGUGAGUAACACGUGGAUAACCUACCUAUAAGACUGGGAUAACUUCGGGAAACCGGAGCUAAUACCGGAUAAUAUUUUGAACCGCAUGGUUCAAAAGUGAAAUACGGUCUUGCUGUCACUUAUAGAUGGAUCCGCGCUGCAUUAGCUAGUUGGUAAGGUAACGGCUUACCAAGGCAACGAUGCAUAGCCGACCUGAGAGGGGGAUCGGCCACACUGGAACUGAGACACGGUCCAGACUCCUACGGGAGGCAGCAGUAGGGAAUCUUCCGCAAUGGGCGAAAGCCUGACGGAGCAACGCCGCGUGAGUGAUGAAGGUCUUCGGAUCGUAAAACUCUGUUAUUAGGGAAGAACAUAUGUGUAAGUAACUGUGCACAGCGUGACGGUACCUAAUCAGAAAGCCACGGCUAACUACGUG
rnacentral:rRNA from 1 species